UAGCAGCACAUCAUGGUUUGCCU
rnacentral:miRNA from 1 species